CACGUAGGGUGCGAGCGUUGUCCGGAAUUAUUGGGCGUAAAGAGCUCGUAGGCGGCUUGUUGCGUCGUCCGUGAAAACUUGUGGCUUAACCACAGGCUGGCGGUCGAUACGGGCAGGCUGGAGUUCGGUAGGGGAGACUGGAAUUCCUGGUGUAGCGGUGAAAUGCGCAGAUAUCAGGAGGAACACCGGUGGCGAAGGCGGGUCUCUGGGCCGAUACUGACGCUGAGGAGCGAAAGCGUGGGGAGCGAACAGG
rnacentral:rRNA from 1 species